GAUCAUGGCUCAGGACGAACGCUGGCGGCACGCUUAACACAUGCAAGUCGAACGAGAGAAGAGAAGCUUGCUUUUCUGAUCUAGUGGCGGACGGGUGAGUAACACGUGAGCAAUCUGCCUUUCAGAGGUGGGAUACCGAUUGGAAACGAUCGUUAAUACCGCAUAACAUAAUUGAACCGCAUGAUUUGAUUAUCAAAGAUUUAUCGCUGAAAGAUGAUCUCGCGU
rnacentral:rRNA from 1 species